UACGUAGGUGGCAAGCGAUACUCGGAAUCACUAGGCGUAAAGCGCAGGUAGGCGGUUCGGUAAGUCUUUUGUGAAAGCUCCCGGCUUAACUGGGAGAGGUCAAGGGAAACUACUGGACUAGAGUGUGGUAGGGGAUACUGGAAUUCCUGGUGUAGCGGUGAAAUGCGUAGAUAUCAGGAGGAAUACCUAUGGCGAAAGCAGGUAUCUGGGCCAUCACUGACGCUGAGCUGCGAAAGCUAGGGGAGCAAAC
rnacentral:rRNA from 1 species